AGGUCUCCUUCUGUCUUUAAACUGAUAUUCGUUUUUGGCCAACCGAACUAAAACCACUUUACUCUAUUAUGGAUGAAUAUUGAACGUGCCGCGUUUAAACUUUGGUUUAGUAUACUCUCAAUUUCUGAUAUUGUUGGAUACGGCUGCUGGUGUUUAACACUUAUACAUUUACAAAAAAACAUCUCAUUUGUAUGGAGUAUUUUGUAUCUUUUUUUUGCUUGGGGUUUUGUAUCCCAGUUGAACUUGUGACGCAUACUUUAAAAAACAAGUUUUGAGAUACACGAAUAUUAACGAUUUCUCUUACUAUUUCUGAAAUAUAUUGGAAGAGGCUAACCAGAUGUGAAAAAUAAAAAUAUAUUUUAGAUUAAUCCAAUUUUUUUUAAACUGUUGAUAGAAAAUUUGUUUUAUUUAUAAACAAUUUUAAUUAUUUUUUAAUAAUAAGCCAUUUUUGUUGAUUUUAAACGAUUAUUGGACAUAUGUAUAAUAUUCUGCAAAAGGAUUAGCGGGAAGGGUGUAUUAAACAGUAUUUAACUAAAUAAAGAUAAAUUGAAGUUCACAUAAAA